rnacentral:rRNA from 1 species
GACGAACCGUGCGAACGUUAUUCGGAAUCACUGGGCUUAAAGCGCGUGUAGGCGGGGUGGCACGUCGGUCGCUGAAAGCCCCCGGCUCAACCGGGGAAGGGGCGCCGAUACGACCACCCUGGAGGGACGUAGGGGGACCUGGAACUUCCGGUGGAGCGGUGAAAUGCGUUGAGAUCGGAAAGAACACCAACGGCGAAAGCACUCUGCUGGGCCGACACUGACACUGAGAGACGAAAGCUAGGGGAGCGAAUGGG